GGAAGCCCGCCAAAAUAAUCCAUUUGGAAGGCACGGAGGGCUUCACUAGAAAUUGCCUUCCUGUAGCUAUGAGACAUUGAGCAAAACAGAUAAGAACUGGGGCAAUGGAGGCAUAAACAUUAAGGCUAGGAUGUAUUUUUGGGGAGAAAGCGGAGGCUAGCAGGGAGGAAGCUCAACUUUAUGCACCGCGCCCGGGAAUGCUUUGCCUUUAACCACUAGCUGAGCCGCCCGGCUGAGGGAGCCCUCCGGCAAUGAGCGCACGCAACCGUGAAGUCAGAUUCCUCCGCCGACCGCGGCCCUCUCUCCUCGGGCUUUGCCUUCGCUCUCCAGCUUUUCUUCUUUCACUCCCGCUCGCCGACUCCAGUCCGCUGGGCUCACGCUCUGCCGGACACCAAUCCCGGCUGCCCUGCCCGACGGAGCUCAAGGCUAGGCCUGGCCUUGUCCGCGGAGUCCGCCCCUCGCCGCCACCGGGAUCCGCCCCCGCGCCGACACGCACUUCCGGCAGCGCCGCGGCCGGGAGGGACCGAGCGGGGAGCAAGGCCUGCGGUGAGGCGCAGGAUGGACGCGUUGGCUGUCAUGAUGUAGGAUCUCCUGACCUAGAACCAUGCCCGGCGCAGGGAGAACAACGAGCUUAUGGACCGGGUGCGGGGGCUGCUGUGCGAGAAAGCCUACCUGCUGGCCCGGGAGCGUUCGCUGGCCCACCUGGUGGCUUUCCCUAGACGUUUAACGGCGACUCCGCCCGGCCUCCCGACUUUUUGAUGCAGGCGUUCUCUUACAUGACUUUCUUCGAGGCUAGAUUCUCGAAAGACAUCCUGAAGGUGGCUUUCUUAAUUAGCUGCCUCACCGAGUGGCGGAGCAGUUCGUAGUCCCCUACAUCGAGAGGGAGAGCCCCGUCCUGGCUCAGUACUAGGGCUUCGUGGACGCGCUGUAGCGGGCCUUGGCCGUUGUGGGUAGGAAACAGUCGGGCCGGAUCCCCGGUGUCUGGGGAGCGGCUGCGGCCCGGGCCCGCGCGAGCCACUUCGCUCCUACAAGCCCGGCUCACUAGUUCCAAGCUGCUGGACUUUGACCCUCGCUGGGAAGCUUGAUCGCCGCCUGUUCUCGCCAAUCUCUGCCUUUGCACUGCCCAGCAACCCGGUCACUGCCCAGGACCUGUUAAAAGUUGAAUGGACCUCCCAGAAUCACGCCGCUGCCACCGCCGUUUCUAGAGACGGCUUUUGGCCACCUUUGAGAAUCAGGGUCAAACUUGGAAGGGCCUGCAUUUGUCACACCUCCUCGGACACUAAUUUGGAUAGUUCAGGCCCAGAGACAGCUUCCCGGGUUAGUGUGCCUGACAACACUGAAGAAAAAUUGUGACAUUUUCCUUCCCCAAAAUUACUUCGUUUUAUACAUUUCACUUCUCUUCUGAAAUUACAGCAAUGUCAGUUUGCGCCUUUUGGUCUGAGGAACGCAGGCCCUGGCCACUACCAGGAAAAAAACCUUCUGGAUUUCAGCUUUGGCAAGCUUCCUCUGUUUCUGAGCCACCUCCAUCACCUGGGGUACAAUCCCAUCCAUGAUUUUCC
rnacentral:lncRNA from 1 species